AAAAGGAUCCCUUCAAGUGGCUGAAAUGGUGGUGUUUUCAGGAGAGUUGGAGGGCCUGCGUUUCCAGGAGGAAGCCAAAGUCUCUCUCUCUCUCUCUCUUCUCUUUCUCUCUCUCUCCAGAAAGAGGAAGGAAGCAUAAAUUCUGAGAGAAACAGCAGCAGUCUCUGACAGCGUGGGCCGUACGAUUGGUUGUGUGUUUUGUCCUCUGAAAGGCUUCCAGCCCCACCAAAGGCUUUCUACUUCUGGAUUUCAAGACUACUAUGUGAAUAAAUGUGAGUUGGACUCUGAGAGCCAUCUAGGUACUAAGACAUAUGAGCAUAUGCUGUGUUCCAGGAACUGUGCAUACAAUGGUGAGUGGAAGAAAAACAGAUUCUGCUCUCCUCGAGCCUGGCCCAAGGAAGGAUGCUAUGUAAUAAUCAAACAGUCAUGGAAGAUGGAUGGAAAAUAAAA
rnacentral:lncRNA from 1 species